AUCGACGUUGACAUUACGUGUUCUAGGUUAAAAACAAUAACCUCUGAUAUCUAGAUGAUGGAAGGGAAUCUAAAGAUGAAAGUGUCUUUGAUUAAAGGCUAUCGAGAUCAGUGGUUUUUGUUAACAGAGGAUGGAUUUCUAAAGCGCUUUAGGG